UGCCGGGGCUCUGGACGGCAGAGCCCAGAGCUGUCAGGGCUAUGAACUGCCAGGUCCAGAGGUACUGGGCUCUGGACAGCAGAGCCCAGAGGUGUCGGGGCUCUGAACUGCCAGGCCCAGAGGUGCUGGGCUCUGAACUGCCAGGGCCAGAGGUGCUGGGGCUCUGGACGGCAGAGCCCAGAGGUGUCGGGGCUCUGAACUGCCAGGCCCAGAGGUGUCGGGGCUCUGAACGGCCAGGCCCUGACACAGCUGCCUGUUGUCCAGUCUACACUUCUGGCAGCCAGAGGCCCAGGGACUGAGUGGGGUGCGGGAUUGAUUUGUGUUGUGGGGGGGAUCAGUGUGGUGAGCUCCCCCAGUAAAACCAGAGCGGAAGUCUGGGUGGAACCUCUCCCCCGCCUAAGCUGGGUCAUUGGCUGGGACCAAACCUGGGACCUAUGGAUUCAAAAAGCAGGCGCCUCUGCUAAUUAACCCAAAAGACCAGACUCGCAGUAGCUGACUCCUGAGGAGCCAUACAAAGUCUGACCACUAGAGGGCAGCAGAGAGACUUGGGGCACCCCCCCCCAGGUAAUAUUUGACGACUGCUGAAGGGUGGGGGGGCCAGGAAGGAUUCCCCCUCCCACCACUGAGAGCAUGGGGCUGUGUAUGGGCAGGCUGCAGGGAGGCGCCUGGUCCCAGAAGGUAAGAGCAGGUGCUGAGCUGCUGAGGACUGGGGAAGUUGUGACACGGGUGGGGAAGGAGCCCGUGGGGGGAGGGCAGGACACUGCAAACACCUGACAUUGUUUGAAGUUUAUUAUAAUUGUUUUAAUCUUAUUUAAUUCCCCCCUUCCCCACUUGAGGUUCAUAUGAUGAGAGGGGCAAAGGGUUAAGGAGACAGUAGGGGGCAGAGGCAGGUUCUUGGAGGGGGGGCAGAAACAGCCCCUCCCAGUAUGGGGCAGAAGAAUAACAACCCUCCCCCAGUGUGGGGCAAACAGGCUUCCCAAGGGGCAAGUGGUCCCUCUCCAGCAGGGGGCGCUGUGAGCACCCCGGCCCUGUGAAAGGGCCGAGUUCGAAUUUCGCCAUCCUAGUAUUUCCCCUUGGAGCCGAGGACGCCUGACCCCGAGAUGGAGCUCCGUGGUGCCUUGCAUGGUGAUCAGUACCCAAUGGGAAGAGCAGGGCCUGGCGCUGCCCUCUGCCAAUGGGCUGGCUGCAGGGCUGGCUGGCAGGCCCGACUCUGCGCCCGGGGGGCUGCCGCUUCAAA